GGUUUUCAAUGCCGUGGCAAGAACUUUCAAGGAAGGACAAAUCCCACCAGAUUAUGUGGGCCCCUCUCAUCAUCAGCCAACAGCACCAGAGGUCACGGCUCCAUCGGCUGCUUUGACGGCUGCAAGUGCACAAUCUGCCGUCCCUCCAAGUACAUCGGGAGCUACUAGUGCACUAUCUGUGCCGAUGACAACCAACCCACAAACUUCAAGUGGGCAGAAUAAACUGACAACAGACAUGUUGGCAUCGGCAAUGUCAGGGUUGACUCUUCCUCCUAACUGGUGGGGUUAUGGUAUGCCUCCA
rnacentral:lncRNA from 1 species